UACGAAGGGGGCGAGCGUUUGUUCGGAUUUACUGGGCGUAAAGGGCGCGCAGGCGGCUUUGUUUGUCAGGCGUGAAAGCCCCGGGCUUAACCUGGGAACUGCGUUUGAUACGGCAGGGCUAGAGUUCGGGAGAGGAGAGUGGAAUUCCCAGUGUAGAGGUGAAAUCGUAGAUAUUUGGGAAGAACACCGGUGGCGAAGGCGGCUCUCUGGACCGAUCUGACGC
rnacentral:rRNA from 1 species